UACGGAGGGAGCUAGCGUUGUUCGGAAUUACUGGGCGUAAAGCGCACGUAGGCGGGUUGUUAAGUCAGGGGUGAAAUCCUGGAGCUCAACUCCAGAACUGCCUUUGAUACUGGCAACCUAGAGACUGGAAGAGGUUAGUGGAAUUCCCAGUGUAGAGGUGAAAUUCGUAGAUAUUGGGAAGAACACCAGUGGCGAAGGCGGCUAACUGGUCCAGCACUGACGCUGAGGUGCGAAAGCGUGGGGAGCAAACAGG
rnacentral:rRNA from 1 species